AUAGUCCUACGGGGCGCAGCAGUGGGGAAUAUUGCACAAUGGGGGGAACCCUGAUGCAGCGACGCCGCGUGAGUGAAGAAGUAUUUCGGUAUGUAAAGCUCUAUCAGCAGGGAAGAAAAUGACGGUACCUGACUAAGAAGCCCCGGCUAACUACGUGCCAGCAGCCGCGGUAAUACGUAGGGGGCAAGCGUUAUCCGGAUUUACUGGGUGUAAAGGGAGCGUAGACGGCAGUGCAAGUCUGGAGUGAAAGCCCG
rnacentral:rRNA from 1 species